CUGUACAACCUACUGCCUUCCC
rnacentral:miRNA from 1 species